AUGGCUUCAUCCGGUUCCAGGACGAGGCCGGCGUGCGCGGACCAAGAGGACAUGCCGAAGACGUGGAUGGAGGCCACGUUGGAGAAGGAGAAGGAUGUGCCCACACCACCAUGUUGGUGUGGUGAUGUUUGCAAGCUGAAGGUGUCCACGGACCGCAAGAAGUCAUGGACAGAAGGUAGAAGGUUUUUCGUGUGUCCCAACUAUGCACAUGAUCGUCGAAGGCCAACUAACGCAUAUGACAUACCACCAGUAUGUUGGGUGUACAUACAAAAAACCUCAUCAAGUUUGAACUCAUAUUACUAA
rnacentral:rRNA from 1 species